CCAUCAGAAGGAAAUCCCUUACCAGUGUUGUUAUGAAUCAGCAGAUCCGUGUAGUAUUUGUUUAGUCGACUUCCAGGACUUUGAAAGUAGAGACUCGGGAAUGGUCCAUAUAUGGAGCCGUGAACAUGGAUCCAAACCAGCAGUUGGUUCAUCAAGAAGCAGGAUCUAGGAGAAUCAUUCACAUACCAUUAUGUCAAAAUAACGUUUGAACCCUU